AGCAACGGGGUAUGCUCAGUACGGCGAGUGAAGCGGCAAGAGCUCAAAUUUGAAAGCUGGCUCCUUCGGAGUCCGCAUUGUAAUUUGCAGAGGAUGCUUUGGGUGCGGCCCCCGUCUAAGUGCCCUGGAACGGGCCGUCAGAGAGGGUGAGAAUCCCGUCUUGGGCGGGGUGUCCGUGCCCGUGUAAAGCUCCUUCGACGAGUCGAGUUGUUUGGGAAUGCAGCUCUAAAUGGGUGGUAAAUUUCAUCUAAAGCUAAAUACUGGCCGGAGACCGAUAGCGCACAAGUAGAGUGAUCGAAAGAUGAAAAGCACUUUGAAAAGAGAGUUAAACAGCACGUGAAAUUGUUGAAAGGGAAGCGCUUGCGACCAGACUCGCCCGCGGGGUUCAGCCGGCAUUCGUGCCGGUGUACUUCCCCGUGGGCGGGCCAGCGUCGGUUUGGGCGGCCGGUCAAAGGCCCCUGGAAUGUAGUGCCCUCCGGGGCACCUUAUAGCCAGGGGUGCAAUGCGGCCAGCCUGGACCGAGGAACGCGCUUCGGCACGGACGCUGGCAUAAUGGUCGUAAACGACCCGUCUUGAAAACGGGACCAAA
rnacentral:rRNA from 1 species